rnacentral:misc_RNA from 1 species
AGGAGGAGGAGGAUCUGUCCGUCAGCUGCUGCCUGCUAGACCGGGCUGGUGGUGCUGCAAUUUUCUCUAUAGCAGGAGCAGAUCGAGAACUGAAUCCGGCCAGUUCUCUCCGCUCCUCUGCGGAUAGCGAACGGUCCCGGUUAGAGAAACCACAACACCCGGCCGGUGGGGGGAUCUUUCGCUUUCUAACACUCAACACAAAUUUUGCGACCAAAUAAAACAUAAUUCGUCUCCAUUAUUGUUUCAACUGUUGGCCGCAAGUUGCAGAACUCGACGUUCCAAACUACAAAGUGUGAACAGUUACAAGAAACGCAGUGCUACCGGUGUGUGUUGUUAACAAUUCGAUUGAAAAUCAUCCAUCAUCCAUCCAGGGAUCACUGCUUCACUAUUGUUCCAGGAUCAUCAAAAACUCCGGCCGAAAAAGGAAAGCUUCUAUAAACGUCACAUCCCGGACAGGAGUCAGCAAGAGAAGCAAAAACAAAAAGAAAAAGGGGGGAAGAAGCAUUAGCACGGUAUAGCCUGUAAAAAUGGAGCAGCUCGCAUCGCUUUUGUGUAAAGCGCUUUACCUCUUCGUGAUCGUCUUGGCUACUCUACCACAUCUCUCGAUGCAGGGGCCCUACGAGAAAAAAUUGCUUCAUCAUCUCCUCGACAAGUACAACGUCCUGGAACGACCCGUUUCCAACGAAUCGGAUCCCAUACAAAUCAGCUUUGGUAUCACGCUGAUGCAAAUCAUUGAUGUGGAUGAAAAGAAUCAGCUGCUCAUUACAAACAUGUGGUUGAAAAUGGACUGGAACGAUUACAAUCUGAGGUGGAAUUCAUCCGAAUUUGGUGGCGUCAAGGACCUGCGGAUCCCACCCACACGAAUUUGGAAACCCGACGUCCUAAUGUACAACAGUGCCGAUGAAGAGUUUGACAGCACCUAUCAAACAAAUGUGGUUGUUCGCAACAACGGUAGCUGCAGUUAUCUUCCUCCUGGCAUUUUCAAAAGUACCUGUAAAAUCGACAUUACGUGGUUUCCUUUCGACGAUCAAAAGUGCGAGCUCAAAUUUGGCAGCUGGACUUACGAUGGAUUUCAGUUAGAUUUGACGCUUCAGUCUGAAGAAGGCGGUGACAUUAGCAACUUCAACACCAAUGGCGAAUGGGAUCUUUUAGGAGUGCCUGGUAAACGGACGUGGCAAUACUACCCAUGCUGCCCCGAACCUUACGUGGAUAUCACCUUCAGCAUCGAGAUCCGGAGACGGACACUCUACUAUUUUUUCAACUUGAUCGUUCCCUGCGUGCUCAUUGCCUCCAUGGCCGUCCUCGGUUUUACUCUUCCUCCCGAGUCUGGCGAGAAACUUUCUCUAGGCGUUACAAUUUUGCUCUCCUUAACCGUCUUCCUAAAUAUGGUGGCCGAGACAAUGCCGGCAACGUCAGAUGCAGUUCCUUUAUUAGGAACCUAUUUCAAUUGUAUCAUGUUCAUGGUGGCCUCAUCGGUGGUUUCAACUGUGCUAAUUCUCAAUUACCACCAUCGCAAUGCUGAUACUCACGAAAUGGCCCCAUGGGUCCGAACGGUGUUCUUACACUGGCUGCCAUGCGUCUUGCGGAUGAGUAGACCGACUGACAAGGACGAUCAAAAGCCAGCAGCAGGGCCGGCGGCCAACAGUAAACACAUGAAGGACAUUGAAAUGAAAGAACGUUCAUCGCGGAGCCUUUUGGCCAACGUGCUCGAUAUCGACGACGACUUCCGACAACAUAGUUGUACGCUCAGCUCAGUCGGUAGUGGCAUGGCUCUUAGUAUGGGUGUGCCUACUGGGUUCCCAAGAGUAGUAUCCACUCCUAGUGGUGGCUUGGGAACUAACCAGGGUCAAGACGAAACCAUAUCGCUCCACAACUGUUUCGGUUCCCACCGUGAACUGUCCGGUAUCCUCAAGGAACUGCGUGUAAUCACCGAAAAGAUAAGAACCGACGAAGAAGAAUCACGUGUGUGCAAUGACUGGAAAUUUGCUGCCAUGGUCGUUGAUCGCAUUUGCCUGAUCCUCUUCACGCUCUUUACCAUCAUUGCUACUAUAGCGGUGCUUUUCUCGGCUCCGCACAUCAUAGUCCCUUAGAAGUGGACGAAGAAGAAAUGCAAAAAAAAAAGAGAAAUAAAAUAAUUCUCUUAUCUCUUCUAAAUAGCCUACGGCUCAGUCUUAGCCAUUUUCUUUAACAGGAAAAAGGCAGAAAUCUCGCCUAACCCUAAUCAAGAGGUGCUCCAUUUUCCCAGUGUGUGUUUGUUUUUGUUUUUUUUUACUAGGAACUUGGAUCAGUCUCGGACAAGUGUUCAUCCAUCUUCGUCUUCAAGGGCUUAUAGUUGGACAGGCAGCGGUCAUCCGUGGCAGCAGUAUAAGUUCCCGGAAGUUCUUUUUGUUUGUUAUUUGUAUUUAUUUUAUUUUAUUCCUUUUUUUUUGUUACUGAUGUAGAAGGAAAGUAAUGUGAAAUCGUACGAUUAUGGUGCGAUCGUUCUUUCAAAUAACAUAGAAAUAGAUUAACCAUGUAUGUAGGUUUUCCAAUUUCGCCUCAGGCUUCGUGUUCCUUCCGGUUCUGUUCUUGAUUCUCCUUGUAAAGUCCACUUCUUCGUCUGCUGUAUAUCUCUUCAUCUGUUUAUUGCUCUAUUCACGCUCCUUGAGGGUCAAUACCAUUGCCAAACUGCUCUAUCUCUUCCUCUACUAGUAGCAGCACGUUAGUCGUGUUCUAAACCCCCAGAAGAAGUUAGUAGUCUAUCAACGAAGCACUUUCGCUUUUUUCCUCGACUGUGUCCCAUGUUUUAAAAAAAAAAAUUGGUAGAAAAUUUUGAUACCACUUUUCUUGGAACGUAGGAAUGAUAACAUUGGAAAAACCCAAAUCACUGCUCUUUACCAUUUGACUCAUUCCUCCCGCCAAUGACAACGGCUCAACGAUUUUCCUUUGGAACUUUACACAUAUAUAUUACAGUAUGUUGCAAAUGUCAACUUCUCUCUCAAUCAGUGCUUCCUCGUCUCCUUCUACAUUAUCACCUUAUUUGAUUUUCAUUGUGCAUUUGUCUCUUCUUUCUUUCUUUUCUUUCUUUUUUUUUGUUUUGGUUCUUACUACGGUCCUGUUUGUUAUUUCUAUAUCCAUGACACUUGAUCAUCGAUGAUAAAACUAUCUGAGGCACUUUGUAUAGCUGUACACACGUCCAGAUGCCUACUUUUUCAUUUGUGUGUGUGUGUGUGCUGUGUGUGUGUGUACGUUAUUGGCUGCUGACGUGCAGAAAUGUUAUCGUCUCUUUCCCAUCCGCAAGAAACGUAGCCAUUUUCAAACCAGUUGUACCUCCAAAAGAUUGUACAGCAUAUGUUGACAUUGUUCUUUUUCGACUGAUUUCUCUUUUUCAUGUCGUUCUGCCAUGGAUGGAACGAAUCAGACUUCACGGUUAUUAUUGUUUACCAACCCGUUAUUAUACGUUUCGUUUUUAGACGAAUGGAUUGUGCGUGUACAAUCACGAGUAUUUUAGCCUGUAGAUCAGGCAGGUUUUAAAAUUAACACGUUACGCCAUAAAGCGAACGCCACCAUGCCAAAAAAAAAACAGUUGAUCAAUCGUUUUACAUAGUAAUAAUUAUUUUGGCAGAAGGGUAGUGUAUUUGUAAUGGAAAGUAGGAUUGUUUGUUAUAGCCACAAGCUAUAAGGCAGUAUCUUUAACAAGAAAAUAUAGAAGUAGAGGUUUUUUCUUCACCUGACUCGUUUGGUUGUCCGCGCAUCUAUUUCUAUUUUCCUUUUGGCUCUUUUUCUCGUUUCUGUUCUUUCUUCAUUCUCAUCUUCGUCCUCUAUACGCCUUGUUUUGUCUGUUAUUUCAAUCAAAUAUAAUAUGGAAUAUAUUGUACAAUAUUUUGCGAUUGCGACCCGAAGCCGAUAUGCAAAGCAUACGCAAAGAGACAAGCAAAAGAGACAAGAAUUAAAGGGAUGAUAGAGGGAAUAAUCGAGCACUUCACGUCACAAAACUGAAUGGAUGGCUCAAAAAGAAAUUGUCUUAUAUAAGUUGGAAGAGCAACUGUAUUUUGAUCCCUGUUUCAACGACUCUUCAUACUCCUGUUUCUUCUUUCUAUAAUUGGCCAAUGGCCAUCUAUGCAAAACAAAGAAAUCCAUCAGAAAGAUGAAGUAACGAUACCGGAAUGUUCACCCCGAGGAUUUCGUUUGUACGAUACACCAAACAAUUCUUGGUUAAGGAAGAAGUUUUCGGACAGAUUCGAAAAAAAAAGGUUCAGGCAGCCCAGUGAGCGAUACAUAUUAUCAUACUAACACAUUAAGCAUUUUUAAAGAAACCUAUAUUUCUUUUUCUUCAUUUAAUUUAAUUUUUAUUUUUUACCUUCUCUUUCUAAUAUCGAAUCCAUCAAAAGGAUUACCGACAUGAAAACAGCGACUAUUCUUCAGACACUUUAAGACAAUACUUUGAUGACUGUUUGAUUGCGUCUAAUAAUAAUAACCCCCUGUUGUUGCCUUUCUCUUUUAUAUGAAACCUCCUAUGUUAUUUAGUUUGAAUGGAUUUGAUGGUGUGUACGGGAAAGACAAUAAGCGCGCGUCUCAAUGAAAUUGUUGUUGACAAUACAGUCGGUAUUAGCCUAUA